rnacentral:rRNA from 1 species
UACGUAGGGUGCAAGCGUUAAUCGGAAUUACUGGGCGUAAAGCGUGCGCAGGCGGUUUUGUAAGCCAGAUGUGAAAUCCCCGGGCUUAACCUGGGAAUGGCAUUUGGGACUGCAAGGCUGGAGUGCGGCAGAGGAGACUGGAAUUCCUGGUGUAGCAGUGAAAUGCGUAGAUAUCAGGAGGAAUACCGGUGGCGAAGGCGGCAUCCUGGACCAUUACUGACGCUGAGGCGCGAAAGCUAGGGGAGCAAACGGG